AGUGUGGUUGUCACCUGGGUCUCACCUGGACUUGGUGACUCUGGUCCCCACCUGGGCCUCACCUGGUCUUGGUGAAUCUGGUCCCCACCUGGGCUUCACCUGGACCUGGUGACUGUGGUCCCCACAUGGGCCGCAAAUGGACCUGAUGGCUCUGGUUCCCACAUGGGACUCACCUGGACCUGGGUCCUGUGAUCUCCUUCUAGGCCUCACCUGGACCUGGUGACUCUGAUCCUCAUCUGGGCCUCACCUGUACCUGGUGACUUUGGUCCCCUCUUGUGCCUCAGCUGGACCUGUUGACUCUGGUCUUCAGUUUUGCCUCACCUGGACCUGGAGACUGUGUCCCCACCUGGGCCUCACCCAGACCUUGUGACUUUGGUCCCCACCUGGGCCUUACCUGGAGUUGGUGAAUCUGGUCCCCACCUGGGAUUCACCUGGACCUGGUGAAUCUGGUUGCCAUCUGGGCCUCAUCUGGACCUUGUGCCUCUGGGCUCCACCUGGGCCUCAACCUGGACCUGGUCUUUUUGGUCCCCACCUGAGCCUCAUCUGGUCCUGGUGGCUCUGGGUCCCACAUGGGUCUCACCUGUACCUGGUGACUGUGGUCCUCACGUGGUCCUCACCCAGACCUGGUGACUGGUACCCUGGUCAACCAAAGUCUGAAAGUAUAGGAGCUUCCUUCUGAUUUACUGUCAUAAGGUCGGCAGUAGCCUUACACGGCUUCACAGUGCCUACAUCAUCACGUCACUUCAUCUCCUCAUGGAGCAUUUUAUCAUCUUACAUCAACACAAAAAGAGGAAGACCACUAGGUCCUGGGAUGGUAACAUAUAAUUAUAAUGGUGCACUUGAUGGAGACCGCCAAUGGAAUGGAGAUGCCCAUGAACUGAAACCCAUUUACCAUCCCUUGCCCAACUGUAUCAUGCUGGCUCUGCUACCUUUCCGGAAAAUUACCUCACCAAGAUGUUCCCAUCUUACCAUCAUGCCCCACCCCGCAACCUCCCAGAAAAAGCAUAAGAAAAAUAUGAGAAAAUAAUCUACAACGGAGUGCCAGGGCAGCCUUAGAGCAGCCUACAUCCUGUCUUCUGGUCCAUAUCAGCCCCCGCUUGACAUGUCCAGGCAACACACCUUUCAGCAAGUGCCCCAGAAUUAUCUGCGCUACACAAGCCCCUCCAAAGUCUAAAGGAGAGUUAAUUACUUUCUACAUCUUUCUAUGAUCUUAGAGAUGUGCAACACUGUGAUCACAUACAGGCUUCACCUUAUUUUUUCUUGGCACUCACUUGCCUCUCUCCUCGCGGUCCCCCACACACAACCCAUCUCCAAGGUAACUCAUGUUAACUGCUUACAUGCAUCCAUGUACCCUUCCGUAUUUCCAUCUGUGCCCAAAUAACUCUACACAGCCAGAAGCACGCGUACAUUACCAUAUAAAAAGCUAAUGCUUUUAAACUCAUUAGUCACACAGACUGUAACUGCCACUGCUGAAGGCAAGCCACACCUCCAUGCCUUCUCUUCCUCCCCAUUUACCCUUUGAUGCAAUCCCAGCCCCCUUUUCUCCCUCUCCUGGGGCUUACUUCAAUUCAGAUCAUUUGGAGCCAUGACAUUGCUAUUUAGGUAUUCAUCUUUCCAUCCCUCUUUCCGUCCUUCCAUCAUGCUCUUCCUAGCAAUGCUUAUUGUUAUUCUUUUGAUUUCUUCUCAAGGAACUGGGGCAAACAAGUGAAAGCUGGACAUUUAAGCAGAAACUCAGAGGAUUGCUUGGCAAAGUCUCUUGUCCUUCUUGAUUGGGAGAACAGACAAUGCCUCACUGGAGGGCUCAUCACUGACCUCGCCCUUCAGGAAUUGCUCUGCUGCUGCUUUCGUAUCUGCUACACAUUCCAGAAGGCAAGGUUCUUGCCUCCCUGGGGAAUCUCAGAGACAGGGCAAAGGCUGCCUGAUUUACCUUCAGACCCUUAGGUCUGUUCAAGUUCAAGACUAAGUCUAUCAAUGAGUUUAAAUUAGUUAAUAUACAUAUAUUUCCCUCCCAACCCCAUAUCACACUGGAACUAAAAGGGAAGUGGGAGGUAUUCAAGACAAACUGCCAAUGCUUUCACUGUAUCAGACCUUCUUCAGGAGCAAGAAGACAACGCAUGUAGCUUCUUUGUGGAAGCACCGGAUUCUCUUCCUUGCAUCUGCCGCUCCUCCUCUUCUUAGUUCUUUGAGCCGAAAUAGAUUUCUGGUAACCCACUCUUUGCCUGGGCUUGGUGACAUGGCUCACUAAAUAUUAAAACAAAUAUUCAUAAAGCACUAAAACUUUGUAAAGUGAGUAGUAGUGAUAGCAAUGUUAUGCGACUUGCUCUCACAGUUGACUUUAAGAAACCACAAGCUUAGAGAAUUUACGUUUCUGAUGCCUUAAAAAUAGAAGGGGGACCUACCUAGAUUUAUCUAUCUAGAUAGAUAAGAGUGGAAAUUGCAAUGUUCUAUGUACUUCUAAACAUGUAUUUACUAAAAUCUUUUUAAAUUCACUUAGCUUUUUUUUAUUUCUAACUUUAGGAAACAAGUUUUAGCUUCCACUACUAGACUAGAUUAUGGUUAUGUGAACAAAACAACAUGGCUUACAAUUAGAUAUUCUCAGGGCACCAGGUGGGUCAAGUAGUUAAGCAUCUGACUCUUAAUUUUGACUCAGGUCAUGAUCUCAGGAUUGUGAGAUCCAGCCUUUUGGCUGGCUCCAUGCUCAGUGGGGAGUCUUCUGGAGGUUCUCUCUUUCUGCCAUUCCCCUUGCUCUCUCUCUCAAAAUAAAUAAGUAAAAUCUUUUUUAAAAUUAGGUAUUCUCUUGUGCAAGGCCAUACUUAGUUAGGCAUUCAUAAUAAAUAUAUUUCCCACACUGAAAUUACUGUUGUCCUACUUGAUAACAUAAAAAUGUGUGACUUUUAUUACCCAUUGUUUUGUAGAGCAUCUAGAUGUUUUGUUAGGGAAAAAAAAGGGAGGAAAAGAAAGAAGAAACGGAAAGAAAAUGAGGGAGGAAAAAAAGUUGACUCUUUCUAUGAAUAAUCCACUGCCCUAUCUUCAGGCAGCCAUCCAAGCACAAAUGUUAGAUUAGUUAGAAAAUAGCUUUGUUGUCAAACCUACACAAUUGAUUCUCCUAUCAUAGAAUUCCCCUUAAUACAUAAUGCAGUAAGUUGUCCCCAAUUCUAAGUUGUCUUUCCUCAAAAUCUUAGUUACGCACUUUCAUCAAUCUCUCCUUUUUUUAUUUACUUGUAUAAGUCACUCUUGUUGAGAAUCUUCAAGGGAAAAGAAAUGUGAAAAGUGAAAGUGGGUAUUCCCAUAUUCUGUUGAAAUAUAAAUUGGAACAAACAUUCUGGGGGGCAAUUGAACAAUGUGUACCAAAAAUCUUUAAAAUGUGAAUAGAUUUGGCCCGGAAAUUUUGUUUAUAUGGUUAUAAUUGAACAAACAUAAAUUUCUAGCCAUUAAGUAUUUUAUAUAGCAUUUUUUUUUCUUAAAAGGAAAAAUAUCAGAAGCAACCUCAGUACCCUACAAUGGGUCAAACAGUUGAGUAAAUUGAUUGAAGUCCACACAAUAGAGUAGAACACAAUCACAUCUAGUGUUGAGGGUAUGGUUUUCAAAAGGUUAAAAAAGUGUUGACAAACAAUCAUGAGUUUUGUUUAAAUCCUUAGUUAGUAAGGAAACAUUAUUAUGAUAAAACUGGUCCAAAGAGCAUCUGAGAAGAUAGGCAUUUAUAGACAAGGUAAUAAACAAAUGUUCAGAAAAGUUUGCAGGAUAAGAAACAAAAUUAGUUAAUGUCCAAGAGGGCAAUGAACCAUAACCUUUGGGAUUACCAAAUCCCCCCUGCACUGGCCCACCAACUCAAGAGAAAUUCUCUGUGUCUCAACACAAAUCUACAAGCUGACCUCUGCCUCUGUGGAGUUGCAAAAUAAUCCAUUCAGGCAAUAGAAAAUCAAGAUAAGUUGCAAGCCCAGCCAUGCCCUCAAAAGUCACCCACUCAUCUCUUUUCCUUGCUUUUUAGGCUUCAAAUAGUUUCUGACACUCUCUUGUAGGGUUGAAUGAGAAUUGCAUGUGUUAAUACAUGCGAAGCACAGAGAAAAGUGCCUGGCACAGAAUUGUCAUCAGUUACCAUCAUCAUGAUCAUCAUCAUCACACCUGGGCUUUUAGAUUUUAUUAAUUAAUUAAAGACCAUUCACUUAUAAAAAGGAAAGGAGAUAAAGUAGAUGACAGAGUAGGAGUUUUCUAAUGAAACCAUAUGUGAUAUACUGAAAGUUGAGGGGAAAAAAUCAUCACAGGACUGAGUCUUUUCUAAAAGAGGGUACUGGAACAUUCUUAAGAGGUGCUAUUUCACUCUAUUUGUCUCUAGAACACCGUGGGCCUGGGAGGUGGGAAUCAAAAUCUUCUAGUGACAAAACUUAAAAGGUCUUGAACAUUGGAACCAAGAAUGAAACUAAGUAGGCAGUAGGAGGCAGGGAGGAGGAGGCCUUCUUAGAAUACAUAUUAUCAGCAGCAAAGCAAAAUGAAUUUGAAAGCAGCUCAAUAGGGGAUGAUGAAUAAGUUCUGCAGAGUUAGAAAUGGUAAAUGGAAAUUAAUUUUAUAAUGCCCAUAAUUAACUCUUGUAGUAUUUAUGAAAUGUCACUUUUGCUUACUUAUUGAACACGUUUCCCCAUUUACAUUGUUUUAAUAGGUUUACAGACUAUUAUAACACCUUUCAGGGCUUCACUUGGAUCCUCAAUCCUGCCCCCCAUAACCGUUUCCACCUCAAGGCUUGGAUUCCUUAAUCACAAAUUCUUCUUUCACAAAGAUUCCAAGAGCCCUCACAGUUUAGCAAGUCCCAUUUGUACCUUAGAGUCUGUGCGAGACAUCAUAGCCUUACAAUCUCUAUUUCUUUAUUUUUUUAAUGCUUUUUAAAAGUUAUUUGAGAGAGGCGGGGGGGCGAUGCAGAGGGAGAGGAACAAGCAGACUCUGUGCUCAGCAUAGAGCCCAACAUGGGUCUCAAUCUAACGACCCUGAGAUCACAACCUGAGCCAAAACCAAGAGUUGGAUGCUUAACCAACUGAGCCAUCCAGGUGCUCUCAAUCUCUGUUUCUUAAUUUCUAGUAAAAACAAUAGUUGCAAGAAAUAAUCCUCAUGGAGUUUUGACCAGAGAAGCUAUUUAUUCCAAUUACUAAGAAUGUGAUCAGAGUUUUAGACCUCCUCCCUAGAAAAAAAAAAAGGGCAUACAUCUAUAUAGACAAUAUUUUGUAUAUAAGUCUAGGAGAUCCCUCUCUGGGUCAGAUAAGCCUGUAUUAAGAGCUGCUAUUUUGAGUUUGUUUGUUUAACCUUUUCUUACAGAGAAUCUCGAACACACAAGAACAGACCAGAAUAAGCAGUAUGACAUAAUGAACCUACACGUAUGCAUCACCCAAUCCCAACAGCCAUUAGUCCCAGGACAAUUCUGUGCGGCUUUCAUCUUAAUCUGGCUUUAAAUCAAGCCAGACAAUCAGAUGACCAGACAUCUGAGUUAUAUUAUUAGCCUCUGGACUGCUUUCACCAAAUUACAUUUAGCCAUGGUUGUAACUUUGGAAUGCUUUGAUGAAUACUUCAUGAGACUCCUAGAAAAAAACUGCUUUUGCCCUUCUUAUAAAUCCAUGCUCAGGAAGUCAUGCACUCCUUACACACCAUUCCUCUCCUAGAGCUCAGUACUAGGACAGUAUAUAUUUCUCCUGAGCUAUUUCUCUGAAAUUAUUUUAUGAAUAUUAUGCAUCCUAUAACUGAUCAUUUUCUAUUAAAGUUUUUGGUGUAUGGUUUAAAUAUUGGUUGCAAUUGUGAAUACCACUUCUUUUUCCAUUAUAUUUAAACUCAUUCCUGGCUUAAAGGUAUACUUUUGGUGUCAUUAUCAUGUAUCCUGCCAUUUCAUUGAACUUUACAAUCAAUUUCUAGAAAUUUUCUGUCAAGUCUUUUGAGCCGUCUAUGUAUGAUGAUAUAUGAUAGGUAUAGGAUAAUGUCAUCCAAAAAUAAUCAUGUUGAGACUUUCUUUCUAAAAUAUCUAUUAAUCCAGUUUUAUAUCCUAUAACACUGACCAGAAGUUCUAGACUGUUAUUAAAUAAUGCUAUAGGAUCACCUAAUGUAUUUCUGAGUUUAAAGUUUGAGUAUGAGUUUCAGCAAUAAAUAGGCUCUAGGUUGUUGGUUUCAAACUGAUUUGCUUUGUCACAUUAAUGAAUGUUCUUUCCAUUCUUACAUCACAAAGAGUUUAUGUUAUUUUAUUUAAAUAAAAAAUGAGAGGAUUAUCUCAAAUACUAUAUAACCUCCUUUGAGAAGAACAUAUUCCAUUCUCAACUUACUAAUUAAAGUUAUUUCAGUAAGUUUCCUAAUAUUAGAUUUAACUGCCAUUGUAUUCCUAAGAUAAACUCCAUUGUACAUGAUAGGUUAUUAUCUUACAUACUACUAGAUUCUACUAGAUCUUUUGUUUAUGAAUGUUCACAUAUAAAUCAUUAAGUAAGAUUCACUAUGGCCUCUUGUCUAUAUCUAUUUGAUAUUGGGAUUGUGUUUAUUUCAUAAAAUGAAGUAAGAAAUAAUCAAUAUUUUUCUCCAUUCUGAAUUCAUUUCUAUAACCUGAGAAUAAAUUGAUCCUGGAAAGUAGAAAGCAGUACACCUAUAAAUCGAUCCAAGUUUAGAGUCUUUGGAGGAAUAUGGACAACUUUUUCAUUUUAUUCCAUAUUCAUGUU